GGGCGGUUAGCUCAAAGGAAGAGCGGCAUCCUUACAAGGUGAGGGUUGCAGGUUCGAGUCCUGCACUGCCCA
rnacentral:tRNA from 1 species